rnacentral:rRNA from 1 species
CCAAUAGCGUAUAUUAAAGUUGUUGCAGUUAAAAAGCUCGUAGUUGAAUUUCGGAAUCUGUCCGUCGGUCGGGCUUAACUGUCCGUACUGGUGUGAUGGGUUCUUACCUUCUGAAUAACCAGCAUGCCAUUAAUUUAGUGUGUUGGGGAAGCAGGACUAUUACCUUGAAAAAAUUAGAGUGCUCAAAGCAGGCUAGCGCCUGAAUACAUUAGCAUGGAAUAAUAAAAUAGGACGGCAUGGUUCUAUUUUGUUGGUUUCUAGGAUCACCGUAAUGAUUAAUAGGGAUAGUUGGGGGCAUUAGUAUUCAAUUGUCAGAGGUGAAAUUCUUGGAUUUAUUGAAGACUAACUUCUGCGAAAGCAUUUGCCAAGGAUGUUUUCAUUAAUCAAGAACGAAAGUUAGGGGAUCGAAGACGAUCAGAUACCGUCGUAGUCUUAACCAUAAACUAUGCCGACUAGGGAUCGGACGAUGUUAAUUUUAUAAUGACUCGUUCGGCGCCUUACG